UACGGAGGGUGCAAGCGUUAUCCGGAUUCACUGGGUUUAAAGGGUGCGUAGGUGGGCAGGUAAGUCAGUGGUGAAAUCUCCGGGCUUAACCCGGAAACUGCCAUUGAUACUAUCAGUCUUGAAUACCGUGGAGGUAAGCGGAAUAUGUCAUGUAGCGGUGAAAUGCUUAGAUAUGACAUAGAACACCAAUUGCGAAGGCAGCUUACUACCCGAAUAUUGACACUGAGGCACGAAAGCGUGGGGAGCGAACAGG
rnacentral:rRNA from 1 species